rnacentral:miRNA from 1 species
ACAUAUAUGUAUACAUAUUAUGUAUAUGUGUGUGUGUGUGUGUGUGUGUGUAUAUAUAUAUAUAUAUAUAUAUUUAGAAGAUUUCUGUAAAA